GUUGGUCUAGUUUAUAUAAAACAAUAGCUUGUCGAGCUUUAGAUGCUAAAAAGCGGCUGAUU
rnacentral:tRNA from 1 species